rnacentral:lncRNA from 1 species
GAAUCGGUUGUUAGAAUGCUAAUAAUUUUUUUAUUUUAUUAACAAUUGUGAUAUUUCAUUUUACUAGAGUCAUAAGUAAGAGUCCUCGUAAGUUUAGCUCAGUUGGCAUAAACAAUGCAUAAUAUAUGUAAAAUUUGGGAUUCAAACUCCAACCAGUAUAAAAUAAAGAGUCAUAAGUAAGAAAAGUAAUUGUAACCAUAGCUACAAAUUCAUAGAAUUCUAUUAAUUGUAAGAAACUACUUGUACUCUAAAGAAAUAUAUUAGGCAGUUCCAUAAUGGAUGUCCCCUUCAGCUAUAAUCCAAUAAUUUGCACCAACUUGACGUUACUCAAAGCCACUAAGCCUAUGUUGUGUUUGAGACCAGGUAGUUAAAACAUAAAGUAGCUUGCUAAAUUGUGGUCCUCAGUCCUCACUCGUCAAGAGGAUGUAGAAUAAAGAUAAUGGUGUUGUUGUAAUGCCAUGCCCUGUUAUGCAUACGUGGCCAUGCUCCUCUCAACUUCCACUUUGAAUUUAGGAUAUAAUAAUGAAGAAUAACAUAUCACAAUUUGGUCUCCUAGUUGAAGAGCAAACCAAGUAAUCUCAGUUGCAAGCUGACUUGUUUUUGUUUGCCACGUAAAGAGCUUGAUCACCAUAAAUUUUUUAGUACCACGUAAGCUUGUACUUCUUUUGACUCAGCUUCUUAUCCAGUAUCCACAAUUUCUCAUUCUCAUGGUCAACAGGUGCUUUGACGUGUCCUCGUGGCAAUUUUGAUGGACACGUGGCGGGAUUAUGUUUAACAAAGUGUGGAAGGGAAGACUUGGAGCAUUUUGUAGUGACUAGACGUGAGGAUGGGUUGUGGAUAAGUUGUGAGGACUUUUUGGUAUCCAGCGUGGAUUUGAUUUCGAGUCUAUUUCUUGUAUUUCCCUUGUAUGGCCACGUUAUCUUGGUGGCGAGUAUUUGAUCUUGUGUUUCAAAUGUCUUCUAACACGAGGAUAUCUUAGGAGUGAAUUGACAUGUUGAUAUUCCAGUUCUCUAAUCAACUGAAAUUAAAACACUACUACUAUUAAGACUCAAAGUGUCUCGAUUAUAAGAGCAACACUACACAUAAAUUUCUAGCAUAAAGUAUAUAACAUUUCUUUGUUGAAUCAGUAGUAUAUAACAUUUAUAAUGUUCGAAAGCAUAAAUACAAAUUUUAUAAUUGAGAACUGAUUUAGGAUGUUUUUA